ensembl:lncRNA
CUGCAUGCUGCAGAGGAGGCGGAAAUAUGGAACUCCUCAGUCAUGUGAGUGUGUUCCUAAAAGAGCCAUGUGUUUCAAAAAGUCUCUGCUCAAAAUACACACAAUAAUAGCACUGGCAUAGUCACAUUUCAAAGAUAAUGAAAUUCAGGUGUUUAUAUCUUUAGAAACCCCGAGCAGGCAAGAGACAUUGUGGAGCUGCUGCAAUGCAAGAAGCGUCUGAUGGGGAUGAAUGCAAACUUGCAAAGGGCACUCAAUGCCCGUGAAGACUCAAAUGCUGAACUGGAAAUUCAGAACUCUGACCUGAAGAACCAGAUCAAAAACAUGAAGAUGUCCACCAGGGCCAUGGAGCAGCUCAGGAUGGAAACAGAUGAAAUUCGGGCAGCACUAGCUGAGAGCCAGAUGGCCAACAGCAGCCUCAAAGCUCAAAACAACCAGCUGGUAAGUUUCUCAAUAUAAAGUCAUAUUUUGUACAGGUAUAAGAGUGGCCAAAACAGAGUGACCUCGAUUUAAGAGUAACCCUGGGUGUUAGAAAACAGCUGUGUCUUUAAAUUAUAGCCUACAGUUAAGGUUAGCCUAAUUAUCAUAAUUUUAGUCAUCUCAUCUCUGCGUUUCAAUUGACGUGCCCACAGCAAAAGGAACAUAAAGUCCAGAGUAACCUCAUUGAAGCCAGCACCGAUGAGGUAAGCUGUCAGCAAAAAAAACAGCUGCUGUUUAGUUUGCUGUUCAACUCCAUGUCAUUUAAGGUUAAACUUGGAAAAUAUUUUAUGUGACAGAUGUCUGAUGUUUUGCUUGAGAGCAAAACAGACAAGAAAAAGAUAACAGAUCUGACUCAACACAUCAAGGCUUUGGAGAAACAACUGGAGGAAACAAGAGCGCAGCUUGAAGAAAAAGGACA